rnacentral:rRNA from 1 species
GCAAGUCGAGGGGUAACAUGAAGGUGCUUGCACUUUUGAUGACGACCGGCGCACGGGUGCGUAACGCGUAUACAAUCUGCCUUGUACUGAGGGAUAGCCCAGAGAAAUUUGGAUUAAUACCUCAUGGUAUCAUAUAACCGCAUGGUUUUUAUGAUUAAAGGUUACGGUACAAGAUGAGUAUGCGUCCUAUUAGUUUGUUGGUAAGGUAACGGCUUACCAAGACUACGAUAGAUAGGGGUUCUGAGAGGAUAGUC